AAAGCCCUGUUUGUGCAGUUUGCUGAGGUGUUCCCGUUGAAGGUGUUCGGCUACCAGCCAGAUCCCAUGCGCUACCAAGAGGCUGUGGGCUUCCUGGAACUGCUGGCUGGGCUGCUGCUGGUCCUGGGCCCACGGAUGCUGCAAGAGAUCAGUAACUUGCUUUUGACCCUGCUCAUGAUGGGGGCUAUCUUCACCUUGGCGUCUCUGAAAGAGUCACCGAACACCUACAUCCCAGCUGUCGUCUGCCUGGGGCUCCUGCUGCUGCUGGAUAUCUGCCAGCUCUGAGGCCAAACUGAGGAGGUGGUCAGACCCACCAGGGAGAAGACUCUUCCAAGUGCACUCAAGGAAUCCUGGGAGUCGAGGGCCUCUUGCCUCUUCAUGCCAUGCCACGGUCACGACAGGAACAUGGUGGAACACACAGUGUACCACCUUGUUACCAGUACCUCCAGGGUUGGCCAGUGGUGAAGCGGACAUCUUAUCUUCCUGACCCUGCUUUCUGUCUUGGACAGCUACUGCUCUGUUUUGAGGGCUACGUGUUAAACAUACUAAUAUUCCUCAUGUCAUGUGAAAAUAGAAAAUAAACAGAAAAGCAAUUUAAAUCA
rnacentral:lncRNA from 1 species